rnacentral:rRNA from 1 species
CCUACGGGUGGCAGCAGUGGGGGAUAUUGCACAAUGGGGGGAACCCUGAUGCAGCGACGCCGCGUGAGCGAUGGAGUAUUUCGGUAUGUAAAGUUCUGUCAGCAGGGAAGAAAAUGACGGUACCUGACCAAGAAGCCCCGGCUAAAUACGUGCCAGCAGCCGCGGUAAUACGUAGGGGGCAAGCGUUAUCCGGAUUUACUGGGUGUAAAGGGAGCGUAGGCGGCAGGGCAAGCCUGAAGUGAAAGCCCGAGGCUCAACCCCGGGACUGCAUUUGAAACUGGACUGCUGGAGUGCAGGAGGGGCAAGUGGAAUUCCUAGUGUAGCGGUGAAAUGCGUAGAUAUUAGGAGGAACACCAGUGGCGAAGGCGGCCUACUGGACGGUAAAUGACGCUGAGGCUCGAAAGCGUGGGGAGCAAACAGGAUUAGAUACCCGUGUAGUC